AUCUUCGGCCAUAGGACAGUGAAAAUACCGCAUCUCGUCCGAUCUGCGCUGUCGAGCACUGUUAGAGCACUGUUAGUACUACAUGUGGUGGGUGACCACAUGGGAAUCCCGGGCGGUGAGAAGU
rnacentral:rRNA from 1 species